UACGUAGGGGGCUAGCGUUGUCCGGAAUCAUUGGGCGUAAAGCGCGUGUAGGCGGCCCGGUAAGUCCGCUGUGAAAGUCGGGGGCUCAACCCUCGGAUGCCGGUGGAUACUGUCGGGCUCGAGUACGGAAGAGGCGAGUGGAAUUCCUGGUGUAGCGGUGAAAUGCGCAGAUAUCAGGAGGAACACCAAUAGCGAAGGCAGCUCGCUGGGACGGUACUGACGCUGAGGCGCGAAAGCGUGGGGAGCGAACAGG
rnacentral:rRNA from 1 species